rnacentral:rRNA from 1 species
UACGUAGGGGGGCAAGCGUUGUCCGGAAUCAUUGGCGUAAAGCGCGUGUAGGCGGCUUCGUAAGUCCGUUGUGAAAGUCCAGGGCUCAACCCUGGGAUGCCGGUGGAUACUGUCGGGCUCGAGUCCGGGAGAGGGAUGCAGAAUUCCAGGUGUAGCGGUGAAAUGCGUAGAUAUCUGGAGGAAUACCGGUGGCGAAGGCGGCAUCCUGGACCGGCAUUGACGCUGAGGAGCGAAAGCUAGGGGAGCAAACGGGG